CAAUCGGAGAGAAAGAUCGGGUGACGCUGACAAACAGAUUCAUCAGCACUUUGAGUGAAAGGACAACCCCAGAUCUGCAAAACCACUUCACAGUGUAUCUAGCACCAAUGUGUGAGUGUCACGAGUCUCGCUCAGUCGCUUCAAACGAUAAGAAAAACACGGCAGGGACAAUCGAUCGGCAGAGCUACACAGCAAAGCAUUAACGUAAAAAGGAGAAUAUCAAAGUAUACAGGUGCAACAGGUAAUAAAUAAGGGUAAUAAUAGUUUAAAGUUAUUAAAACGGUGGUGGUUAUUGUGCCCGGCAAAGAAUUUGUCUUUACAAAAACAAAA